CGCUCGGCCCGGAGCACUGUAGCCCCGGGAAUCCCGCUCAGAACUAGUCCCACGGCCAAGUUUCUUCACUCACCCGGUGGUUCUUCACCUUGUUGGGUCACAGAGCCUUCAAGGAGUCUAAGAAAGCUGUAGACCUUCUCUUCAGAAAAAUAUUAAUAAGCUCAUUCACACUAAAAUGUAUAGAUGAUUUCAAAGAGAAGUCUGCAGUUACCUGAGGUUCUUUGGAGAACAUCAUGGCUACUUGAGAUGGGAUCUAGAAAGACAACACCCUGCUCUUGAAUCCUGGGAGCUCCAAGAGGAAGUAGGACCAGAAUCUCAUUAACACUAGAAACCAAGAAAAUUUGGAUCUGUGUGAUUCAGAGU